rnacentral:misc_RNA from 1 species
UACGUAGGGGGCAAGCGUUGUCCGGAAUUAUUGGGCGUAAAGCGCGCGCAGGCGGUCUCUUAAGUCUGAUGUGAAAGCCCACGGCUCAACCGUGGAGGGUCAUUGGAAACUGGGAGACUUGAGGGGAGGAGAGGAAAGUGGAAUUACACGUGUAGGGGUGAAAUGCGUAGAGAUGUGGAGGAACACCAGUGGCGAAGGCGACUUUCUGGCCUAUAACUGACGCUGAGGCGCGAAAGCGGGGGGAGCAAACAGG